GGGUACAGUACAAUUGGAUUUUGGUUUAGGAUCAUGUUGAAGAAUACAUCUCAGUCGAGUUUAGAGGUUAUGGGUAAUAGCGUUUUGCCACCACCACCAGUGAUGCCAUCGUAUUCAAUUGCUAAAGACAGACCUAUAAGAAAUAUUAGGCCUCCACAUAAGUACAAGGAACCUAAUUUAGUUGCGUAUGCUUUAAGUGUGGUUGAAGAUGUUGAGUCUAGCAAAGAAAUAUUUUGUGGUGUUGAUUCUAUUUUAGGGCAUAGUUUUGUCCAGUUUGUGAUUGUUAAUUUAUUCAGG
rnacentral:lncRNA from 1 species